AAUGAACGCUGGCGGCAGGCCUAACACAUGCAAGUCGAACGGAUCCUUCGGGAUUAGUGGCGGACGGGUGAGUAACGCGUGGGAACAUACCCUUUGGUACGGAAUAGCCUCGGGAAACUUGGAGUAAUACCGUAUGUUGCCGAGAGCCGAAGGACUUUUCGCCAAAGGAUUGGCCCGCGUUGGAUUAGGUAGUUGGUGGGGUAAUGGCCUACCAAGCCGACGAUCCAUAGCUGGUUUGAGAGGACGAUCAGCCACACUGGGACUGAGACACGGCCCAGACUCCUACGGGAGGCAGCAGUGGGGAAUCUUAGACAAUGGGGGAAACCCUGAUCUAGCCAUGCCGCGUGAUCGAUGAAGGCCUUAGGGUUGUAAAGAUCUUUCAGGUGGGAAGAUAAUGACUGUACCACCAGAAGAAGCCCCGGCUAACUCCGUGCCAGCCGCCGCGGUAAUAC
rnacentral:rRNA from 1 species